GAUGAAGAACGUAGCGAAAUGCGAUACUUGGUGUGAAUCGCAGAAUCCCGUGAACCAUCGAGUCUUUGAACGCAAGUUGCGCCUCAAGCCAUUAGGUUGAGGGCACGUCUGCCUGGGCGUCACAUAUCGUUGCCUGAUGCCAGUUUCCUCGUGAUGGGUGACUGUGCAGGGCGAAUGAUGGCUUCCCGUGAGCAUUGUUGCCUCAUGGUUGGUUGAAAAUUGAGUCCUUGGUAGGGAGCGCCGUGAUAGAUGGUGGUUGAGUGACGAACGAGACCCAAUCAUGUGAGACCCCUACCGAAUUUGGCCUUCAUGACCCACAUGCGUCUUUGGAACGCUCAUGACGAGACCUCAGGUCAGGCGGGGCUACCCGCUGAGUUUAAGCAUAUCAAUAAGCGGAGGA
rnacentral:misc_RNA from 1 species